CCUACGGUGGCAGCAGUGGGGGAUAUUGCACAAUGGGGGAAACCCUGAUGCAGCGACGCCGCGUGAGUGAAGAAGUAUUUCGGUAUGUAAAGCUCUAUCAGCAGGGAAGACAAUGACAGUACCUGACCAAGAAGCCCCGGCUAACUACGUGCCAGCAGCCGCGGUAAUACGUAGGGGGCAAGCGUUAUCCUGAUCUACUAGGUGUAAAGGGAGCGUAGACGGUUGUGUAAGUCUGGAGUGAAAGCCCGGGGCCCAACCCCGGGACUGCUUGGGAAAGUGUGUAACUGGAGUACAGGAGGGGCAGGCGGAAGUCCUGGUGUAGCGGUGAAAUGCAUAGAUAUCACGAGGAACCCCGAGUGCGAAGGCAGCCUGCCGGGGUGCGACUGACGCUGAGGCUCGAAGGUGCGGGUAUCAAACAGGAUUAGAUACCCGUGUAGUC
rnacentral:rRNA from 1 species